rnacentral:rRNA from 1 species
ACGGGUGAGUAAUACAUCGGAACGUGCCCAAUCGUGGGGGAUAACGCAGCGAAAGCUGUGCUAAUACCGCAUACGAUCUACGGAUGAAAGCAGGGGACCGUAAGGCCUUGCGCGAAUGGAGCGGCCGAUGGCAGAUUAGGUAGUUGGUGAGGUAAAGGCUCACCAAGCCUUCGAUCUGUAGCUGGUCUGAGAGGACGACCAGCCACACUGGGACUGAGACACGGCCCAGACUCCUACGGGAGGCAGCAGUGGGGAAUUUUGGACAAUGGGCGAAAGCCUGAUCCAGCAAUGCCGCGUGCAGGAUGAAGGCCUUCGGGUUGUAAACUGCUUUUGUACGGAACGAAACGGCUCUUUCUAAUAACGAGAGCUAAUGACGGUACCGUAAGAAUAAGCACCGGCUAACUACGUGCCAGCAGCCGCGGUAAUACGUAGGGUGCAAGCGUUAAUCGGAAUUACUGGGCGUAAAGCGUGCGCAGGCGGUUAUGUAAGACAGUUGUGAAAUCCCCGGGCUCAACCUGGGAAUUGCAUUUGUGACUGCAUAGCUAGAGUACGGUAGAGGGGGAUGGAAUUCCGCGUGUAGCA